rnacentral:tRNA from 1 species
GGUGGUGGCCGAGUGGUUUACAGCAUUUGGUUACCACCUAGGAGGACAGAGGUUCGAAUCCCCGUCAUCACCA